rnacentral:ncRNA from 2 species
CAUAUAGAAAGAAAUAUAUCUCAUAUAUACCUCUAAUAUGGAGAGGAGUUUCUACGGUUUACCAUUGUAAUAAACUGCUAUGAGUUGAAGGAUUUUUUUG